GUCCUACGGGGGGCAGCAGUCGGGAAUAUUGCGCAAUGGAGGAAACUCUGACGCAGUGACGCCGCGUAUAGGAAGAAGGUUUUCGGAUUGUAAACUAUUGUCGUGAGGGAAGAAGAUGACAGUACCUCAGGAGGAAGCUCCGGCUAACUCCGUGCCAGCAGCCGCGGUAAUACGGAGGAUGCGAGCGUUAUCCGGAUUUAUUGGGUUUAAAGGGUGCGCAGGCGGUCUGUUAAGUCAGCGGUCAAAGCCCGGGGCUCAACCCCGGCCCGCCGUUGAAACUGGCAGUCUCGAGUUGGAGAGAAGUA
rnacentral:rRNA from 1 species